rnacentral:tRNA from 1 species
GCCAGAGUGGUGUAGUGCUUUGAAUGUUGGAUUAUGACUCUGGAGGUCAGGGUUUGAUUCCCUACUCGGUCA